CAUUGGUGUGUGCUUGUAGAUGGAUUAAAGGUUCCCACAAUGACAACAAGAAUUCGAUGAAUGUGGAGGAAGAUCAUGACGAUGAUGUUGAGACCAUUCCAUUUCCAAAGAGUGUGGUGGGCAGCAACUAAUUUGACAUGCGGUUUAUGAACUGACAAGGGAUGGCAAUGCGGUCAAGAGAGAAGAAAUGAUGGAGCGGUGGUUCUUUUGUG